CUCUUUGGGCACCGGCAGGCACAGUCAUUCCGGUAGUCCGUUCCUCGAUGGACGUGAUGACCUGGCACCAAAACCGCUUAAUGUGUACGGAGCUGUGUCUGCAUCGAGGGAAGAACGCGGCACUGAAAUGACACAAAUGAAAGAAGAUUACUUCUGCUCUGCUGGGUCUGUGACACUAUUUAUCCGAGGAGUCCUCAAACAUCAGGAUGUAGGAAGACACAAGUAAAAGGAGAAGAAUGCUGCUCAGCUGGGUCGGCGGCCACACUACUUAUUCAAGAAGCUCUUGGAUAUCAUCAGCAUGUAUGAAACUUGUGGUGAGAUGCCAAGAGCUGCCAUGAGGGAUAUGCAACCUGCAGCUUCACCGUGCUUUUGGGAGGUCAUCUACUAUGUGAACCUUAAUAUCUACAAGCCAGCUACUUUAAAUCCUUGAAAGGGUAGUGAUGUCAAUCAAACCAGAUCACGAGACAAGGUCCUGAGGUACAAACUGUCAAUAU